rnacentral:rRNA from 1 species
GAUGAACGCUGGCGGCGUGCUUAACACAUGCAAGUCGAGCGAAGCGCUAAGACGGAUUUCUUCGGAUUGAAGUCUUUGUGACUGAGCGGGCGUAGGGCGAAGGUACGCUGGUAACGUGCUCAUACAGGGGAUAACAGUUAGUAGAUGACUGCUAAUACCGCAUAAGCGCACAGGACCGCAUGGUCUGGUUGUGAAAAACCUCCGGUGGUAUGAGAUGGACCCGCGUCUGAUUAGCUAGUUGGAGGGGUAACGGCCCACCAAGGCGACGAUCGAGUAGCCGGCUGAGAGGGUGAACCGGCCACAGUUGGGACUGAGACACGGCCCAG